rnacentral:rRNA from 1 species
GCUGGUGGUCAUAGCGUCUGUGCCCCACCCGGUCCCAUCCCGAACCCGGCCGUGAAACCAGUCAGCGCCGAUGGUACUUGUGCUUAAGCAUUGGAAGAGUAGGUCGCCGCCAGUC